UUAGAGACUAGAGUCUCACCCUGACACUACUCAUUGUCUUGGUGUGCUAGAGUACUCUUAGAUUACAUACUGGUCCUAUUCACCGACUGGCUCUUUUGUAAGCCAGUCACCCACAUGGUCAGUUACAAAC